rnacentral:rRNA from 1 species
CCUACGGGAGGCAGCAGUGAGGAAUAUUGGUCAAUGGACGAGAGUCUGAACCAGCCAAGUAGCGUGAAGGAUGACUGCCCUAUGGGUUGUAAACUUCUUUUAUAUGGGAAUAAAAUGUUCCACGUGUGGGAUUUUGUAUGUACCAUAUGAAUAAGGAUCGGCUAACUCCGUGCCAGCAGCCGCGGUAAUACGGAGGAUCCGAGCGUUAUCCGGAUUUAUUGGGUUUAAAGGGAGCGUAGGUGGAUUGUUAAGUCAGUUGUGAAAGUUUGCGGCUGAACCGUAAAAUUGCAGUUGAAACUGGCAGUCUUGAGUACAGUAGAGGUGGGCGGAAUGCGUGGUGUAGCGGUGAAAUGCUUAGAUAUCACGAAGAACUCCGAUUGCGAAGGCAGUUCACUGGACUGCAACUGACACUGAGGCUCGAAAGUGUGGGUAUCAAACAGGAUUAGAUACCCCUGUAGUC